rnacentral:rRNA from 1 species
AACGAACGCUGGCGGCAGGCUUAACACAUGCAAGUCGAGCGCCCCGCAAGGGGAGCGGCAGACGGGUGAGUAACGCGUGGGAACGUACCUUUUGGUUCGGAACAACUCCGGGAAACUGGAGCUAAUACCGGAUAAGCCCUAACGGGGAAAGAUUUAUCGCCGAAAGAUCGGCCCGCGUCUGAUUAGCUAGUUGGCGAGGUAACGGCUCACCAAGGCGACGAACAGUAGCUGGUCUGAGAGGAUGAUCAGCCACACUGGGACUGAGACACGGCCCAGACUCCUACGGGAGGCAGCAGUGGGGAAUAUGGGACAAUGGGCGCAAGCCUGAUCCAGCCAUGCCGCGUGAGUGAUGAAGGGCUUAGGGUUGUAAAGCUCUUUUGUCCGGGAAGAUAAUGACUGUACCGGAAGAAUAAGCCCCGGCUAACUUCGUG